UACGUAGGGUGCAAGCGUUGCUCGGAAUUACUGGGCGUAAAGCGCACGCAGGCGGCCAUGUAAGUCGGAUGUGAAAGCCCUGGGCUCAACCUGGGAACUGCAUUCGAAACUGCACGGCUUGAGUUCGGGAGAGGGUGGUGGAAUUCCUGGUGUAGAGGUGAAAUUCGUUGAUAUCAGGAGGAACACCGGCGGCGAAGGCGGCCACCUGGUCCGAUACUGACGCUCAUGUGCGAAAGCGUGGGUAGCAAACAGG
rnacentral:rRNA from 1 species